rnacentral:misc_RNA from 1 species
AAAAUUUUGGGGAUAGGCCGAAUUUAGGGUUCCUCCCGAUCUGAGCAACCAAAAGUCAACAAAUUUUUUUUUUCAAACUUCUCUCAGAUUUAGGGGCUUUGGAGUUUUUUCUAUUUCUUGAUUUAGCGCUAGAAUUAGGAUUUUAGUUUAUGUGUUCUCAGUGAAGCGGCGAAGCUUUUGUUAGGGCACUGUAAAGCGGGUAAUCGGAUCUGCCAAUGCAAAUUGAAUUGAAAUCUCAAGAAGUUUCGGUGAUUUUUGGGAUACCGAAAGCGUUAAACUGAAAGCAAAUCAAUGUCUUGGGCAAGUCCAGAAGAUAUCUAUACCUCCACUUCUCUUGCAAGUUAUCUCGACAAGAAACUUCUUGUGCUGUUGCGAGAUGGGCGAAAGCUUUUAGGAAUACUUCGUUCUUUUGACCAAUUUGCUAAUGCUGUUCUUGAAAGUGCAUGUGAGCGUGCUAUUGUUGGUGAUCUAUAUUGUGAUAUCCCAUUAGGUCUCUAUAUUAUACGUGGGGAAAAUGUUGUGUUAAUUGGUGAACUGGACGUGGAUAAGGAGGAGCUUCCUCCCCAUAUGACACGUGUUUCAGAAGCUGAGAUAAGAAGGGCACAGAAAGCAGAAAGGGACUCUACAGAUCUUAAAGGUUCAAUGAGGAAGAGGAUGGAAUUUCUUGAUAUGGAUUAAAGGUUUACUGUUGUUUACGAUAAUUCCAUGUCUUCUGCAAAUAUUAUCGCAGUUGCUGCGUGGCGUUCGUUUUCUCCUGGGAUAUUCUGUGUUCAUUUGUAACAUGUGUUUCUUUUAUGACGUUUGAGUAAAGGUUACUGGUGUUAAGACAUGGUGAAUGGGGAAACAAGUGUUUGAGUUGUUCCAUUUCCCGUCUUUUAUGCUAGUCUGGAGGAAUUGUAGUUUUAAGUUAGACUCUGUAUAUGCUGUGAAAUGGGAGUUUCCGGUAUUUGCUUUUUUUCCAAUGUCCUUUUCUUAUUCAACAUUAAUCAA